GGGACCUCCUGACACAGCUAGUCGUGAUCGCUUGUCACCACAAUCAGCAGCUACAGCCGAGUUUGACGACAUAGUGUUCAUCUGUCAACAUAAACCACUCUCAGAUUAUUUCCCGAAUGCACCAUCGUUUCCUCAAACACUCCCUGUACUGGACUCCUGCCAGUGAAGUCUGGCCCAAUGUGUUUAUAGCUGACGAGAAAGCAGCAAGGAACAAAGCCAAACUGGAGGAGAUGUACAUUACUCACAUUAUGACUGCUAUGCUGUUGUGUUCAGUGGAAAAGAAAUGGGAGGACCACUACCAGAAGAAAAACAUCACUUACUACAAUGUGCAUUCAGGAGUCCAUGGCUGCCCCAUGUCUGGUCAAAUAUGGCACACCUCUUUUCACCAGCAGCAGAAUUCAUACAGAAGGCCCUGAGUUACACAGAUUAAGGUGUUGGUGUACAGCAGCGCGGGCUUAAACCAGUCCAUCGUGCUUCUUAUGGCAUAUCUAAUGAUCCACCAGGACAUGAAGAUGGAAGACGCAUUCGAAUUUGUGUUAGAGAGCAGGAUGCAUGUGGAUAAGCAGGGACUACUUGAACCAGCUAAUGAUGUUAAAUCUGGACCUCGCAAAGCUUCGCAAAUUAGAAAAGUGUAGACCCUGCUGCAAAGCCUGCUCUGAAGCUAUCAUGUGACUAAAUCAAAUGUAACAUGCAGUAUGUAAAUAUGGUGUUGAUAUGUCUGUUUGUCUUCUGUUCAUGUGCA
ensembl:processed_transcript